UUCCUCAACAAUUUGAAGAAAAAAUACAAUGUCCAAUGGAAGAUCAUAUGUAUUUCAAUUCAUGGUAUAAUGUGAAACUGAGUGGACGUGUUUUCAGCCGACUGCCUAUUUCAGGGAUAUCUGGAAAAAUACACACGCGAAUCCGACGAAGGACAUACCAAAUGAAUCUUGAAACAUAGAGGAUUAUUAAAGUCUGUAUUUGGAAGGCUUAACAUACCGACAACACAUAGAAAUAGACGGUUAUAAAAGGCACUUGUUCCAGAGGACCGGCUCCCAAAACACCACGUUUCUCUUUAUAUCUGGGUGAUCAAUCAGCUUCAGGAUGUACAAGAGCAAACAGCAGAUAAUAAGGCGACCAAAGGCACCAAUUGAAGGCCUAUUCUGCAACUACUCCCACAGAAUAUGUAUGCAGAACAGAAUUGAUGGAUUUGAUUAUUGUAUCAAGCAUAUUCUCGAAGAUAAAGAUGCUCCCUACAAACAAUGCAGUUACAUGUCUAAUAAGAAUGGAAAAAGGUGCCACAAUGCUGCACCUAAAUCAGAUAGAAAAGAUGGGUAUUGUAUAGAACACGCCAAGAAAACUGCGAUAUUACGACAGCAAGCUGCUAGAAAGCAUAAACCUAGAGAAACUCCCGAGAGCUUAUUGGAAGAGCUAGAACAUCAUAAUGGAUCUAACCCUAGCAGUAAUCCAGAGUUACGGAGACCUCGUUCAGUUGAUACAAUGGCCAGUCGCAUUCUAGACUAUGCAAGCUCUGGAGAAUCAGAUACAGAGACGUGUUUGGUUGACCAGGCAUGGAGAGGUGAUGGAGACAGUGAUGCUGAGAGUAUAGACAGUGAACAAGAAGAUAUUCUAAAGCAUGCUGGUAUUUAUACUGCAGAGGAGGUUGCAUUGAUUACAAGAGACAAACUGAUUCGUUUACAGUCCCUCUAUAUUGACCAGUUCAAACGUCUUCAGCAUGUCAUGAGAGAAAAAAGGAGAAAAUGUUUACGGGGAAUGCGAAUAGAAAGAGAUCGUAUUAGCUCUGUUCAUUCAAGUAAGGAUGACCCCAAUCAGAGAGACAAAUACAAUAAACUAAUGGCAAUGAAAAAGUACCACAAAAGACAUGGUAGAGAAGCUUUGCUGCAUCGCCAGUCUAAACAAAGACGCAUGGCAGAAGGUGCUAACUACAAACAUCCGUCCUAUUCUAAGUGUAUACACAUGACAGAUGGUAUCAAGUGUUUACAGAGGGUUGUGCCACUUUCUAAAUUUUGCCAACAACAUAUUUUGGAAGACCCCCAUCAGGUGUUAUUCCAAGCAUGUGGAUAUGGUCAGAUGACCUGUGCUAAGCCUGUGGCAUCAUGUGGAGAGGAGCAGCCACGUUGUAUGCUCCACGUCCCUCUACAAGAGUACAGGUCAAGACUGCCAAUUAAAGAUGAAGAGCCUGAUAUGUUGGAUGAUGUUAAAGACAUGAUGCUCCAGCAAAUAGAUGUUGUAACUGAAGACAAUAAACCAAUAUUUGAAGACCAAGAUGAUGAACCUCUCUCUCACCUCCUGAACCUGGAUAGGCAUGACCUUAUGAACUCUAGUCAAGUGGCAAACCUGCCUGAUAUUCCAGUCUCAAUGAACAUAGGCCAACAAUCUCUUCCUGCAAAUAACUCUACCAAUUCCUCUGGACAGACAUUUGAGAGACAGAUAUCUCACUGAUUCUAACUUGUAGUCCAAUGGCUGAAACCUGUCCAUGUUGUUAGUCACAAUUCUAACACGUCUUUGACUGUUAAGAAGGCAAAUUCUCUUUGAGCCAUUUAGAAUAUUUCUCAUUGAUUACUCUAGUCUAACAAGGACAUUUCUGUAUAUUUCAAGUGGCGACUGCAUAAAAUGUCAUUUAACUUCAGGCUAGAGUAAGUUAUUUCUGUUGUUUCUGAUUCCUGCAUGCACAUUCUGCUAGUAUUUUUGAUAUAUAUGCCACCCACAUUGACAAAAAUUAAAAUGAUUUUUUUGAUACUAUAAAGCUCACAAUUAGUAUAGUGGUGUAUUUAUCUGGACAUUGUUUUUAUAUAUUAUCAAAAAUUAAAUGCCACAACCGGUCAUCAAUUUGAAAAAUGGCAAGAAACAGAGCAGAUAGUUAACUUAUUCUGGCCUUAUUUGUUUGUGUUUGAACAAUCAUUCUGCAAAAGUGAAAGUUGAAAAUUAUGAAUUUUUGAAAUAAAAUAUUAAAAACAAGAUUUGUAUUAGAA
rnacentral:misc_RNA from 1 species